rnacentral:rRNA from 1 species
AUUGAACGCCGGCGGCAGGUCUAACACAUGCAAGUCGAACGGUAACAGGAAGCAGCUUGCUGCUUUGCUGACGAGUGGCGGACGGGUGAGUAAUGUCUGGGAAACUGCCCGAUGGAGGGGGAUAACUACUGGAAACGGUAGCUAAUACCGCAUAACGUCGCAAGACCAUAGAGGGGGACCUUAGGGCCCCUUGCCAUCGGAUGUGCCCAGAUGGGAUUAGCUAGUAGGUGGGGUAACGGCUCACCUAGGUGACGGUACCUAGCUGGUGUGAAAGGAUGACCAGACACGCUGGAACUGAAGCAGGGUCCAGGCUCCUACGGGAGGCAGCAGUGGGGAAUAUUGCACAAUAGACGCAAGCCUGAUGCAGCCAUGCCGCGUGUAUGAGGAAAGCCUUCUGAUUGUAAAGUACUUUCAGCGGGGAGGAAGGGAGUAAAGUUAAUACCUUUGCUCAUUGGCGUUACCCGCAGAAGAAGCACCGGCUAACUCCGUG